CAUUCCUGUGGGUCAACUAUGCAACUAACUCAGAUUUUGAGCAAACAAAGCUCUCAAGUUGGUGAUCCUCAGGAGUCUCUGCAUUAGUUGGACAGCUCUUCUGGAAUUAUCUUCUAAGUCAACUGUGGGUUGGGUAGGUGGCUCUGCUGAUUUUUCGCUGGACUUCCACAUUUGGGACGAGUUGGCUGUCAUCAGCUCUAGAAAGGGUGUGGCCGUUUUACAUUGGCUGUUUUCCUCACAUUCCUCAAGCAGGUACUGUAAUAAAGAACUGGAGAAAUACAGUCAGAUGGGAAGUAGCCCUUGCUGUCAAGGAGCUUGCCAUCUAAUGGGGGAGACAGGCAAGUAAACCAAAGACUACACAGUGCAGUAUGGUAAGUGCCAUGAUUUUGAUGUGACAGGGCACAGUGGACGACCUUCCAAAUCAAAGCAAGUAACUAGGGGUUGACAAUGGUAAGUAUCAUAGUUGAAGUAUCCUUGAACAAGGUUUCAGGAAGAAGAAGAAGGGAAUUUCAUGCAGGGAAACAGCCAAAGCUCAGUGAGUCAAAAUAUCACAGCAUUCUUGGUAAGCCCAAUUGUUUUUUCUGUUUUGCUAUUUUGGUGGAGAGAAAGGAACACAUAAAGGAAUAACAUGAGAGAAGGCUAUUUGGGGAAGUGUAGUAGUUAAGGUUCUGGCUCAAACAACAACUGCAGCUCAUAAAGUUGACUUUAGUGGAAGGAUACUGGGGUAUCUCAUGGAAUCUUGGGAACUGUUGAAUAACCAGGGAAACUCUGGGAAACUCACUGGUAGGAAUCCAUAAACUGUCCUCCUGGUGGGCUGUAAACAACUCACCCUCUAUGCAUCUCACAUCAAAAUUCCAGUUUCUUGGGAAAACAAGUCUGUUUGCCCAAUUUGGGUCAUAUUUCCACGUCCAUGUUACUCAGGCAUGAUUCAUCUGCAAGUUAUGUGUAUAGAUAUUUUGCUACUGUUCCACCCUUACGCUGUGCUGGGGAGGGAGGUGUCACUGUGAGCUGUGUCGGUGCCUUAAGAGAUAUCUGUUGUGUCUUAUUACUUGGUUGCUUUUCCCCACAUGUACAAUGACAAAAAUGCCUUCAACCUAUUUGAUCCAGCCGUUCCAGUACAACUCCUAUACUUGCCAUCUUUCCAAGCCCAAAGGUACAUCCAGCUGAUGGAAGGAGCAUCUUGGUGUUAAUAUUCUUUUAGUCAUGGUCUCUGAAAGUAAAAUGUCUAUUCUUCUAAUUCUGGCACAAUCUUAUCUAGCUAUAGUUCCUCAUGGUCCUGCACUCCAUGGACUAAAUUGUAAGUAUAAUUACUACCAAUGUACUCUAUAAAUAACUUUUGGGGCCAGGGUGGCAAUAGUUGCUAGAGAGAAAAAAAAAAAAAAGGAAGGAGAAGAAAACAGUGAUAGUUCUUAUUUUAAAAGGAAAAAAAGAGGCAGGAGGCUCUCUUGAGGCCAGGAGUUUAAGACCAGCCUAGGCAGCAUUUCAAGACCCUGUCUCUACUAAAAAGUAAAAAAAAAAUUUAGUCAGGCAUGGUGGCAUGCACCUGUAGUCGUAGCUACUCAGGAGACUGAGGUGGGAGGAUUGAUUGAGCUCAGGAGUUUGAGGCUGCAGUGAGCAAUCAUCAUGCCAUUGCACUCCAGCCUGGGCAUCAGAGCAAGACCUUGUCUUUUAGGAAAAAAAGGCAGGGAAGAGGAAUAGGUAAUUUUUCAGUGUUCAGACAUUCCAGCAAUAUGUGUGGAGUACUCAUUCUCACUACAGUUUAUGAGGCCAUAGCUAGUAUGUAUGACUACCCAUCCAAGUUUCCCUGCUUACAGUUACUAUUCCAACUGAUUGGGGGGCUUUUCCUAAUAGAGUGAUUUAAGCCUUCAUUUUUAGACAUCUAAGCCCUUGGUGAUCAUCAGCAUAAAAUGUGACAAAUUAAACAAAAGCAAGACAGCACAUCAGAGAACAACUCUGAGGUGGAAUGAUUGGGAACCAAUGAAUAGUUGUUCAGUAAAUGGUUUAUAUUUUACAGAUGAUGAAACUGAAACACAAAAAAUUUAGAUUAACUCUUAGGUGACAAAGCCAGGAUUGAAGCUCAUGCGGUCUGGCUCCAGAACAACUCUUCUUCAUAGUUACGUUAUACUGCCCCUGCAUUGUUGGUAUUGAAAAUAACUGAUACCGUGCUUCCAGAAGAUUUUUCUAACAGUGUUUGCAAGCUAUAAAAUAGUGCUUUCACUUAGAAAAGGCUAGACGUGGUGGUUCAUGCCUGUAAUCCCAGCACUUUGAGAGGCCGAGG
rnacentral:lncRNA from 10 species